UCCGAAUAUGAAGUGCUCUAAAAUGGCUGAAGGUGCUGGCUGUAUGCAAAGGUGAAAUGAAGGAAGAUUGAGGAACAGUGAGAUACAGCUUUGUUUUUUCCUUCCACACCACCAGCUAUUUUUUCAUAUGCCCAGCACCUCAAGCUGUCAGAUAUCUGGCAAAUGAUGCACUGCUGCAGAUGUAUGAGACACAGUUCUUGUGUGAGGCUCUAUCAUGCUGACUGGCAGAGAUAAGUUAACAAGGGUCACACAUUGUGCAUGCAACACAAAGCCACACUGCACCUUCAUAUUCUGUCUCUCCCUCCCCAGAGCUCCAGAAAUCCAUGGGCAUCGCUGCCAUGCAAAAGACCCUGCUCCAAUUUGUUUUCUGCUGUGACUUUCCACUGAGAGCAAACCACGUACAAGCAGUGCAGAUGCUGUAUGAGAGUCCAUCCCGCGCAGAAGUCUUUGUGCCAGAGCCCUUGAAACGAUGUCAGGCCCAAGAGGAAUAGGCUGUGCAUAUGGAAAAGACAGCACCCAAGGCUUCUACAGCACUGGUUAACAAAGUUCUCACCCUACUGCCUUUGGUAAGUUUAAAGAGAAUGCCAACUUUAACACUGAACAUUGCACAGCCAUGUGUACUUCCAUCCUUCAUUUUAUCACAUUCACAAAUAUGCACUUAAAGGAGUACUGCAGGGCAAACUGGCAAAGAGACCACUCAGAUGUCUCAGAAAUAGCCCUUGGACUUAGGCACAGCCCCAAGUACAAAAAUGUGUACUUCAUCCAUGACACAUCUAAAGAUGAGCAUAUUAAAACACUGAGAACAAGUAAAACUCUUUUAACAGAGGAAAUACAGACCGAAUUUCAGGAACCAAAGCAUUCACUGUGUCUCAUGACACCUGGAAAGCCAGUGGUAAUGCAAUAUACUUGACUCAAAUCAGCCUGAGAAAGAAAGCCAGCUGGCAGGCAUGAGGGCACUAAUAGGCUCUGAUUGCCCUAAUCAGCCCCUCCUGAGGCAGCCUCCGCCCAUGGUCCAUGGCUCUAUAGAAGCCUAAGUCUGAACCCUCCCCUUGUGUUUGUGCGCUGUGUUGUAGAGGGAGCAAGGUUAGCCCUGUUCUUGGCUGUACCUGAGGUGCUUGUCUUAGGUGUUGCUUCAUUCUUACAUGUUUGCUUGAAGGCCUCUGUGUUGUUGCUGGGGCUGGUUGCUGUUACGUGUUCUCUUGUGCUGCUUAGCAGUACAAUUGCUCUGGAGAAGCUACUGUGACCUGUUUUCUUCCUUGUCUUCCUGAUUGGAGCAGCUCUGUUCUUACUGCUGUUGGACUCCUGUCUCCAAAGUAAGUACCCUGUAUUCUGUACUAAGAUUUUUUUUUUUCUGGUGGGUGUGACUUAAUGCCUCUUACUGGGCAUUUGUGUGUGUUUGUGUCAGUCACAGCACUAUCUGUAGCCUCUGCAUUGUCUGAUAGUUGCUUUGUGUUCCUAGAACUUGAGUAUCCCAGCAUUGUGAGAUGGCAGAGUAGGGGCUUUAAGGGAAAUCACCAAUAUUGAAAAAGUCUUGGGUAAAUAUGUAACUUCAGAAAAGAAGAGGAUGUUUAAAUGAUGGUUUUGUUCUGUUUAUGUGCUGUUAUUUCUUUCUAGGGAAAACAAGCAAUGGGAAAAGAUUCUUUAGAAGGUGUAAAGAUCUCUGGUUUUGUGUUCUUCCUUGUGUUUCCUUAGCUUUAGGAUUGUGAGGCAGUCUGACAAAUCUGAAUGGAGCACUGAUUCCAUCUCCUGGUCUCAAUAAGGAAAGUCAGAAUUUAAGCAAGAUCUUACUGCCACAAUGAAGCUUACUAAAUCUCUUUCUCCUUCUGAACAUCAAAGUAGAGCCAAAAGGAAUUAUAAAGAACAAAUGUAUGAACUGUGUUUUUCCCCAGAGUUUGUGAAAUUGCACAAAGAUCAGAAAUGAAUCAAACUGGUUGUGUGAAUUUAGUUUAGGACUUCGGGUCCUAGGAUAAAAAUCAACUUCUGUUGCAUUGAAUUCAAUUACAUUUUCACACUGAUUGAUAGGAGCAGAAUUUAUUUCUUGUUUCUUGCCAAAAUAACCAUAUUCUGAUUUUAAGAACUUAGUUCUUAAAACUAAGUUGCUGCACUUCCACAGUGAUGCUACAAAUGACUUUCUUGAGUAGGUGUAUGUCUGAAGGGUCUUAUAUGAAUUUCACAUCACUAAUUAAAUUAACUAGAGAUUCAGAACGAUGGUAUUUUUUCUAAGCAGGAGAGCUAUUUUAACAUUAGUUAAAUACACUGUGGGAGGUGCUCAGCUGGUCGUCAGUCUUUGAUGCUAAACUGCAGUCAAGUCCUAUGUGUUGUGCUGCUUUGCAGAAAGAUCACGUGCAAAGGUCUUUUCUCUAACUUUCUCACUCAGCUUCAGAAUUUGAGGUGCAGUUAAAGAUAGGAUCUCUCACUGUAAGCGCUGCUAGGGUUUUCAAACAACUUUGAAAGCUACCUUCCACCAACACAAAGGGAGGAGAUUCUUGUAUGCGUAGAUGAACUUGUCAGCAUCAGGGCAAGAAAAAGAGGAUGGAGCGCACUGUUUUUAAGUGAACCAAAAGGAUGGUCGUAACUAACUAAAAAAGCACUAGAAUAUUUUUGUAUGAUACUAAAACUGCUUUUGUACUGUGAGAGAGCUGGCUUAUUGAGGGUUUUUUUUUUUUACUUGAGGGGGGUGAAAUAUGGGGAAGGUGAUCUGAAAAUAUUAUCUUGAUAUCUUGUAUUGUAAUUGAUGAUUUUGUCUUGGUCUUGUAAGAUGACAUUGAGAAUACCCUUCACUGCUGUGGAAUGCAAGUAUAGCUGAAAAAGCACUUGAAAUUAUCCAGUGUUUCUGAUAGGAAUAACUUUCUGCAUGUCUGACUCUUUCCAGUCCUUCAUAUUUCUUAUGGAUUCCUGGUGACUUCUGUAAUGGAAAUUACAUGUGGCAUGUCUUUCACACUCAUAGAUUUAUCAAGGUCAAGCUGACAAGUUUUCUUUUCCCAGCCUUUGACUUUAUGUGACAACCUGUACUAAGUCUUAGCCACUUCAGACAGAUGACUAGACACAUCCCACAAGACCAAGGAUGCUUUGUUACAGUGAUAAAGUGGCUGUCAGACUGAUGGUGUUAAGUGUUGCUCAAAAUAUACAAAAAAUAAUGGGGAACUAACAUAAGGAUUAUAAUGAAAGGGGGAAACUUCAGGCUGGCUCCAAGCACUGGUAGGAGCUUGGUUACCUUAUAGGGAGAACUGUACAAAUUCAAUUCAUUUGACUCAACAUCCAAAUGAAGAUCAGUGGUGCUUUUCAAGGAUCAGUGCUGGGACUGAUCACAGAAUCAUAGAAUGGCUCUGGUUGGAAAAGAAGUUAAAGAUAAUCAAGUCCAACUGCAACCUAACCAUUCUACCCUAGACUGACCCUUUUCAAUUUCUUUAUCAUUGACAGUGGGAUUGAGUGUACAUGCUGCAAGUUUGCAAAUGACACCAAGCCUUGUGGUGCAGUCAGUGCAACUGAGGGAUUUGAUGCUAUCCAGACAGACACAGAGAAGCUUGAGCAGUGGGCCCGGGUAUUUUCAUGAAAGCCAAGUGUAAGGUUUUGCACCUGGGUUCUGGCAACUCCCUCUAUCAGUACAAACUAGGGAGUGUAAGGAUGGAGCACAGCCCUGCUGAAAAGGACUUUGGGGUACUUAGAUUCCUGUUCCGUCACAGUACAGAAAGAAGUUAAAAGGUAUUAUCAUCUCUCUCUCUCUC